rnacentral:snoRNA from 2 species
UGCUGUGAAGAGGAAUCUGGUCUGAUCCAUGAUGAAGGGCCAAAGCUCAGAGC